UGACAUAAAGCCUCAAAUGUGCAUUGUAUUGUAAUGCAUUUGUUUUGAUUGUUUGCUUAUCACCCUCGGUCUUGGGGAAGGAGUGCGAAGAUGAAUAUUUGCUUACACAACUUCCAAUUGAUGUUGUUCCGCCCCUCCAAAUUGACCCUAAAAAUUUGGAAAGGAAACUGACUAUGAUAUAGAGUUGGAAGAUGAAGAGGACAAGUGCAAGUGCAAGCUCGUAGAUGGACUUGAAAAUGCUAAGGAACCUAAGAAAGGAAUGGCAUUUAGCUCCAUAAAAGAACUUUCUUUAUAUUAUAGGAAUUAUGCGAAGUAAGAGGGUUUUGGAGUGGUACAAAAGAUAGUUAAAAAGCACGCAAGUGGGUAUGUACAUGACAUCACCCUAGCAUGUGCUUAAUAAGGUAAAAAAUCUACUUCAUGUUAGGGUUAACAAUUUUUGACAAGAUUGCAAAUUUGACAUGAACCUGGCACGACAUUAAAGGGUAUGAGUUAGACAUAAACGGGUCACAAACGGUUCAACUUGCUUGACCUACGGGUUGGCCCGUUUAUGAAAUUAUUAUUAUUAUUAUUAUUAUUAUACAUGUUGAAUGGGUCAAACAUGUCGUGUUUGGGUUGAAACGAGUCAAAUGGGUUAAACAUGUGGCUUUUGGGUCUAAACUUUGUGACUUGUUUAAAAGCGGGUCGUGUUCGAGUUGGCAGGUCAAGUGGGUUGACCCAACACUGGCCUGGUUACCUGAAUUGCAACCCUACCUCAAGUAAUACCUUUUGUAAGCCUAAUUCAACAACCCAAAUGAGGUGUAAGACUAAUUUGAAAGCAAAUUUAGUUGGUGUGUGACUAGUAUAUCUACUGACCGCAAUCAUACUUUAAACACUAGAAAAGCUAGAUAUUUUAGAUGCCGUAGGAAUUUGGAUCUUGUUAUAAAAGGAAAGCUUGAAAUAAAUGAUAGAGCUGAAACAAGUAUGAGUAAGAAUUAUAACUCGCUCGCUGUUGAAGCCUUUAGGGGAAUAUGAGAAUCUUACAUUUGGAGACAAAGCUUGCCUUAAUUUUGUUGCCAAUAUCUUCGGCUUGGCAAAGGAGGUGCUAAAUCACUUUCUGACUAUUUUUUUUUUAGAAUGCAAGUAAUGAAUGAUGGAUUUAAAUGAUGAA